GCCCGUUUGAAAUAGUGUCAAUCAUCAAUCCGGCAGCUGUACGCCUUCGCCUUCCUUCCUCCCUACGUGUUCAUCCUACUUUCCAUGUCUCCCAGAUUAAACCGGUCCUGUCCAGUGAUCUUUGCCCUCCGGCCGAACCCCCUCCUCCCACCCGUCUUAUUGAUGGUCACCCGGCAUACUCCGUCCGCCGGCUUGUGGCUUCCCGUCGGCGUGGCCGGGGUCACCAGUACCUCGUUGACUGGGAGGGUUACGGUCCAGAGGAACGCUCUUGGGUCCCUAGCUCCUUUAUCCUGGACCCCUCCCUUAUUAGGGAUUUCACCGCCUCUCAGCCCUCCUCCUCUUCUCGUCCGCCAGGUGGCGUCCGUUGAGGGGGGGGUACUGUUAGGUUGGGGUUCUUUUUCCUGUUUUAUUUUGUUUUCUUUUCCUCUUCUGUCCUGGGUUUUUUCUGGGAAGCUGCGUUUCCUUUAACAGCCAUCAGAUGUCACCAGUGAGCGGAGCCCCUGGAGAAGUGUGGCGGCCAACCUGUAGACGCACCUGUGUCUAAUUUUCGAGAGCUGCGGAGGUGCUUCAUAAGGACAGCCUAGCUGACACUCCAGUGCCUGAGUGUUUGCCUUCACUGAUUUCCUUGUGAUCGCCCUGUGACUCCUGGAUGUGGACAAGCGCUCCCCCCUGGAUUUCCUUGUGUUCCUCACGACGCCAUUGGUAUUACCAAUUGGUUGCCUUCCUCCGUGCACUUACCUCCCUGGUCCCUCCCCGUGGAUCCUUUGUGCCUCGCCACCGGCUGAGCCUGCCAGCGUUUCAUGUUCCGGGAGCUAACUGUCGAAGCCCCGCUCGGAAGUCAGCUCACUCUGCUCUCCAGCUGCAAGGCUUACCUGCUCGCUCUCCGACGGUAACUCACUUCUCCAGCCGCCACCAUUGACAAUACUAACCUCCGCAUUCAAGUAAGCGUCCUACGAAAGAUUCUCAGAAUUAUUCCAUUUGACCCAUCCCGUGUCUCACUCCGCUUUUUCUCAUAUACAGUCUGACGACCAGUUUCCUCCAGUCCCAGGUUCCAGAACUAUUUCCCCUGACCCCUCUUCCUUUCACCAAAAUAAAUAUUAUUGUUGUUUCA